UUCGACCUCAGAUCAGGCGAGAGCACCCGCUCAACUUAAGCAUAUCACUAAGCGGAGGAAAAGAAACUAACAAGGAUUCCCCUAGUAGUGGCGAGCGAAGCGGGAACAGCCCAUCUCCGAACCGGCGUGGGGCGCAAGCCUCGUGAAAAGGCGCCGGAGUGUGGAGUGUGGGGGCCGGGCUUCUAGCCCUACCCGUGGCGGAGCCUGCCUGCCGUGCGCAAGUCCCCUCGAAAGGGGCCAUGGCCCGGAGAGGGUGCCAGGCCCGUAGGCGCGGCGCGGGCACCGCCUGGGGGCCCCGGAGAGUCGGGUUGCUUGAGAUUGCAGCCCAAAGUGGGUGGUAAACUCCACCUAAGGCUAAAUACGACCACGAGACCGAUAGCGAACAAGUACCGCGAGGGAAAGUUGAAAAGAACUUUGGAGAGAGAGUUCAAGAGGGCGUGAAACCGCUCGGGUGAAAAACGGGUGGAACCUCGAAGGGCGACGGGGGGAGUCAGACCUCCGGCCGGUGCUGCCUGGGUGCGCGCGGAUGGCUUCGGGUUGGGGUGGCUUCGAAAGGGGCCGCUCUCGCCUGGGUCUCCCGCCCCCGGGCUUGCUGCUGGUUGGGGAGCUCGCAUUUCCUCCCGGGUAGGACGCCGCAGCCGGUUGGGCUGGGCGGCAGAAGGCCUCGGUGGCUGCAGGCGCCUGCUUCGGCAGGUGUCCGGCCCCGGGUGAAUUCCUUGCCGUCCCCCGACCGCGCCGAGGAGCUCGGAGGUUGCUUGUUGACGCUGCCGUGGCGGGCUGUGCCGUCUUAGCUGCUCCGUCUUUGACGUGGGCGAGCGGGCGGCGCGGUCGUCGGUCUGGCACGCGCGACUGGGCGACCCCGUGGGCGGCGAGUACGAUCGGUGGUUCACCCGCCCCGUCUUGAAACACGGGCCAAGGAGUCUAACAUGUGCGCAAGUCGUCGGGUUUCCUAGCGAAACCCGGAGGCGAAGCGAAAGCGAAGGCCGGCGCUUGCGCCGUGCCGAGGGGAGAUCCGGGCGGCGCGGACCCAACAUCCUGCCCGACAGCGGGAGGGUCCGCCUGCUCACCGGCGCAUCCUCGGGGCGUGCCGGGUCCCGUAGAGGACCGGGGCGCACCCAGAGCGCACACGUUGGGACCCGAAAGAUGGUGAUCUAUGCCUGGCCAGGACGAAGCCGGGGAAAACUCGGUGGAGGUCCGCAGCGGUUCUGACGUGCAAAUCGAUCGUCAGAGCUGGGUAUAGGGGCGAAAGACCAAACGAACCAUCUAGUAGCUGGUUCCCUCCGAAGUUUCCCUCAGGAUAGCUGGCGCUCGGAGGUCAAGUGCUGAAUUGGAGAGAGUCUCAUCCGGUAAAGCGACUGAUUGGAGGAACCCGGGUCGCUGGGACCUGGACCUACUCUCAAACUUUGAAUGGGUGAGAGGCCGGGCAUGCUUGAGUACAUGAAGCCCGAGCUCGGAUCAGAGUGCCUAGUGGGCCACUUUUGGUAAGCAGAACUGGCGCUGUGGGAUGAACCAAACGCUGGGUUAAGGCGCCCGAAUCGCCGCUCAUCAGAUCCCAUGAAAGGCGUCGGCGGCUAAAGACAGCAGGACGGUGGCCAUGGAAGUCGGCAUCCGCCAAGGAGUGUGUAACGACUCACCUGCCGAAGCCACCGGCCCUGAAAAUGGAUGGCGCUAAAGCGGCGUGCCCAUACCCAGCCGUUGGGGCAGAGCUUGCCACUCUGCGUGAAGCUGUGUGUGUUUGCGCCUGCAAGAGGGCGGGGUGGUACUUAGGUCCCCAACGAGUAGGAGGGCGCGGCGGUGGCGCUGAAGGGUCUGGGCGUGAGCCUGCCUGGAGCCGCCGUCGGUGCAGAUCUUGGUGGUAGUAGCAAAGAAUCCGGCGAGAUCCCGGAGGACCGAUGUGGAGUAGGGUUUCGUGGCGCCGGCAAUCGGCCACGAGUGAGUCGAUCCUAAGCCCGGUGACAGUUCUGGUCAUCGGAGGGGCAAGUGAAAGACUUUGCGCCGAAGCGUCUUCGCCGCCAUGCGAAGUGCCGAAGCCAGGUCGACUUACCAGUCCCUCCUGUACGGGCGAAAGGGAAGCCGGUGCAGAUUCCGGCACCCGGUCGCGAGCGCGUCCAAAGUAGGUCCUCUUCGGAGGGCCUACGGGGUGACCCAAAGAGACUCGGCGACACCGCCAUGGCCGCUGGGAAGAGUUGUCUUUUCUGCCUGAGCCUCGAACUCCCUGAAAGGCGGUUGCCGCGCGAAAGGGACGACGUGGCGAAGAGCGCCCCGCAUGGCCGUUGGCGCCGGGGCGUCCGGCGGGCUGUGGCGGUCCUUGAAAAGCCGAGCGAGGACGACGAAGAGCGUCGCGCCGGAUCGUACCGAAUUUCCGCAGCAGGUCUCCGAGGUGCGCAGCCUCUGGUCUCUAGAGCAAUGUAGGUAAGGGAAGUCGGCAAACUGGAUCCGUAACUUCGGGAGAAGGAUUGGCUCUGAGGGUCGCGGCGGUCGGGCGCGGGGUUGAAACGGG
rnacentral:rRNA from 1 species